GCCUGGACUGGUAAUUCAGAUCCAAGCUCAUUAGAGUAAUUGUCGUUGCAGGGGAUUUAGCCUGGACUGGUAAUCCCGACAAUACUCUAUGAGUUUAUAUUGCAGGGGAUUUAGCCUGGACUGGUAAUCCCGCUGCAAGGAUGAGGUUCGCGGGAGUGUGCUCUCUGAUAUGAAAUGUGUAAGACCAUGGUUGAAAGAUACCAUGGCAACUUGAUAUGAA
rnacentral:lncRNA from 1 species